AGAUACCCGCGUAGUCCCAGCCCUAAACGAUGCGCGUUAGGUGUAUCGGUGACCACGAGUCACCGAGGUGCCGAAGGGAAACCGUGAAACGUGCCGCCUGGGAAGUACGGUCGCAAAGGCUGAAACUUAAAGGAAUUGCGGGGAGCACCACAACGGGUGGAGCCUGCGGUUUAAUUGGACUCAACGCCGGGAAGCUCACCGGAUAAGACAGCGGAAUGAUUGCCGGGCUGAAGACCCUGCAUGACCAGCUG
rnacentral:rRNA from 1 species